CCACUUUUUCUUACAAGUCUUACCAACAAAACUCAACAACUAUCACAAUAACCAAACUAUAACUAAAUAGCUAGACUCUAGCAGCAAAACAACAAACUAUUACUACAAAUAGAACUCAAAUAUGCUUUGCUUUUAAUUGAUGAUUUUGUAUGUGCCUGUUAUGAUCUGCUACUGCUUGAGAAUAAUGUUUUCUCUAUGUAUGCAAUAGGUGCCUCAAAAUUUUGUUGCUCUUCCCUUAUACAGAUGUUCUAUACUAUGGUAGACAUUUAGGGAAUCGAUCGAAGGAAAUUUUUCCUUGUUAGUGAAGGAUAAAACUUGUCCUUUUCUAAUAUGGACAAGUUCAUACCAUAAUUAGACUUCGUGACAUAAAUAGGCUUAUACCCAAAAAUAGAAUUUGCCUAACUAUCAAAGCUUGAAUUCUACGAAAUCCUCACAGAAGAUUUCAGGGUCCGACGCACAGUUGGAAUCUCUUAGGAGGUUUGAGGAGCAUUAACAUACUCUCUCUUACAAGCAAUCUGGGGUCAUGCCUCAACAGAUAUCCGGAAAGCCUAAGUUUUGCACCUUGCCUUCUAGACACUCUAGAUCUUGGGAUAGGUAAAUGGCCUUGGAGACAAUCUUAAUCAGAGCAUCUAAUUCCCGAAUCAAUGAUGCACCCCAGAUCUCGUGACGCCUUGGUCCAAAGGGAAGGCUUCGGAAGUAACCCUCUUCUCUGAGGGUAUUGAUCUGUUUUUCCUUUCUUUGGAGGGGUAAGAAAAAACCAAAAAGAUGGUGUCUUGCAGCACCAACGAUGGCAUGUAGUUGACCACAAGGUUCUCAAUCCAUUAGGGUUAAGGCCAUGGUCUAAGAUGAUAAAAUCACCAAACCAAAAGUCAGAUCUAUAAAGAUUUGUUCCAUAAAACAAAUGUAUAUGUGAGAUAUAUCCAAACAUGGGAAAACAUAAAUACCAUGGUUUUUGGAUUUACAUCAAAACGAUUGAAUAGUUGCACCCAGGAGAAACUAACAGUUGUAGAGGCACUCAAAAACUUCUCAACCUAGAGGCAAAAAUUCUUGACUAAGUGGAUGAAGGGGAUCCGUGAGGGAGAAGUGCAUCAAGAAGAUACAUUGAAUAUAUCAGCAAGAAGUUACCAAGGCACUGAAGAGGAAUUUAAGAAUUAUGGAAGUUUCAGUUAAAAUUGCUUAUGGAUAGAAUUUUAUGUUGUGGGAUGAAUAAUCUUGGAUAGAUCACUGGGGGAUAAAAUGAUGAAGCGAUUGGCCCAACCUCGGUCUCUAGGAUCAUCUAAUUUGCGAAAGAGAGAUUUCCAACCAUGUCUAGACAAUUGGAUUAGCCCUCCUCAAAUUGAUCCAGGUGAAUAAAGAGAAGCAGAUAAGUCAAAGAAAAUUCCUCACCAACCCCCAAAGUGGCCAACAAGUGAAGACACACGACGAUCCUCAAUACCCUGGGGUUGAGUUGGACAACACAUACAUUAAAGGCAUUGUAGAAUGAACGAUCACCUUAUCCAUGGCAUGGUAUUUCUAAGACCAUACUAAAUAGGUAGGUAUAGGUGAAAGUGUGGCUAGGAUGAGAUAGAGAGAUGCUUUCGAAUGGGUUGGGUGCUUCAACUCAAAAUUCUUCAAUAGGUCACCCAGAGUCCCUUUGGAUGAUAUUUAGAUUACCUGUUUUCAUGAGGAACCCCAUUUCAUCACCAUUCUAUCUAUCCCUUUAUUUUCUUGCAACAUGAGGACCUAAAGUCUUUAUUGAAAGAGAAACGAUUGGGAAGAAUCUCAUUAAUGGUUGACUUAUAAUGAUCAGAAUCUUUGCUCUUNNNNNNNNNNNNUGAUGAAUCAAAGCACAGGACGGUUAAGAAAGGCUCGUCAAGAAAUUCAUGAGGUGAAAAGGAGAAUAAGAUUCACGGUGGAGCAUGUCAAAUUUAUAAAUAUGAAAGCAUACAACUUCCCUUGAAAAUGCCUUGGUAGGGCACAAAUUUUAUGGCUAACCAUGUGUUGGAAGGUUGAUUCGCAAAUAAAAGUGAUGCUUUGUCCAUGAAGAAAAAAAGGCAAACAGUAUGUAUCUUUUGUUCUCUUUUCGUCUCCCGAGAGCUACUGGGCAUGGUAUCCGAAAAGACGACGGGGCUAUCUAUAUGGGUUAAAAUUAGUACAAGUACAUGUGGCACAAUCAGGGAAGACAACUUGAAAGUGUAACGACAUAAUGAGAGCAACCACUAUUCGUAGCCUCUCUUGAGCUAUUGGCAGCAACAAUGCCCUCCCGUAAAGGGUAAGGUAACAACUGUUUUCUGUCCUUUAGGAUUACUACAGUCGAAUUCAUAUGGAGUAGAG
rnacentral:lncRNA from 1 species